rnacentral:rRNA from 1 species
GGUNNUGGACGCAGUCUGAACCAGCCAUGCCGCGUGGAGGAUGAAGGCCCUCUGGGUUGUAAACUUCUUUUAUUGGGGAAGAAAUCGGACUUUUCUAAGGCCGUUGACGGUACCCAUUGAAUAAGCACCGGCUAACUCCGUGCCAGCAGCCGCGGUAAUACGGAGGGUGCAAGCGUUAUCCGGAUUCACUGGGUUUAAAGGGUGCGUAGGUGGGCAGGUAAGUCAGUGGUGAAAUCUCUAAGCUUAACUUAGAAACUGCCGUUGAUACUAUCUGUCUUGAAUAUAGUGGAGGUGAGCGGAAUAUGUCAUGUAGCGGUGAAAUGCUUAGAUAUGACAUAGAACACCCAUUGCGAAGGCAGCUCGCUACGCUAUUAUUGACACUGAUGCACGAAAGCGUGGGGAUCAAACAGGAUUAGAUACCCUGGUAGUCCACGCCCUAAACGAUGGAUACUCGACAUCAGCGAUACACUGUUGGUGUCUGAGCGAAAGCAUUAAGUAUCCCACCUGGGAAGUACGACCGCAAGGUUGAAACUCAAAGAAAUUGACGGA